UACGAGGGGGGCAAGCGUUGUUCGGAAUUAUUGGGCCUAAAGCAUCCGUAGCCGGUUCUACAAGUCUUCCGUUAAAUCCACCUGCUUAACAGAUGGGCUGCGGAAGAUACUAUAGAGCUAGGAGGCGGGAGAGGCAAGCGGUACUCGAUGGGUAGGGGUAAAAUCCGUUGAUCCAUUGAAGACCACCAGUGGCGAAGGCGGCUUGCCAGAACGCGCUCGACGGUGAGGGAUGAAAGCUGGGGGAGCAAACCGG
rnacentral:rRNA from 1 species